rnacentral:lncRNA from 1 species
CGGUCUGAAUAAUCUGAAGUCUAAUUCUGAAAGGUUCACAUUUACAUCUUUCAGAUUUUCCCCUUUUGUCAGAAAGUCUGAUGACUGAAACAGAGUGAACUGUCAAAUCUGUAAGAUAAAACCUUUGAUGUGAUAUAUUUUAUGUAACAUCAAGCUCUACACAAUAUGUACAUUAAAAUAUUCUUGAUGACAAGACAAUGAAACCUUAUACACACAUAGACACACAAAUGAGGUAGAUAACAAACACAAAGACAGCACAAUCAAUUUCAAGCCACGGUGUCAAACACAGUGGUUUGAACUUAAAUUUUAAAAUAAAGAGUUUAUCAUGAGUGUUUACUGGAAUGAGAAAGGCUUUGAUAAUAAACCAAUAGCUUGUUACUCUACAGCCAUUAAAUAGACCCUUAUAAAUGUUUCAUCUCUUUCCUCUUACAGGAGACAUUUAUACAAGUAUAUUUUACAAUGAAAUUAAAGUUUGAAAUAAAGUACAUUCUAUAGGUACAGUCUGUAGCAAGCAACACACAAACAAAAAAGCAACAUUAGAUACUAAAACUAACAUCUAGAUGCACCGAUUUUUACAUCAGUGGGCAUAUACUGUGCCUAAAGCAAAGCAAACACCACUUCCCUUCUUGCCUCAUUUUAUCUCAUAAUGCAUAAACUCAAAGGUAAGGCAAUUAUAAUGUUAUGACAUUCAUGUAAAGUUUUGACGGUGGGAUUACUCUGGCUUUGCAUUCAUACAUUUCUUGCACUUUACAAGUGUAUCUGUAUGCAUGUUCUACACAAAAUCCCAAACUGUUAAAUAAACAUACACAGCAGAAAUAAUGUAUUUUUUUUUUGUUGAGAAAUGUUGAUUUUGUGUUCACUUUAGUGGUAGGUUAGUACCUAAACAUACACACCACCGCAGGGGCUGCUGUAACACUAAAAGAGAGGAAAGUAAAUGCCCAUUCUUUGGCAUUAGGUCAUGUACAUCUUUUGUGACUAUGCACAUCAACUCCUUCUCAACAAACGCUUAUUUUGAUUUUUAAAUUUAAGGACAAAAUAUCAAAACAUUACAGUCUGCUGUUUGCUG